UACGUAGGGUGCGAGCGUUGCCCGGAUUUAUUGGGCGUAAAGGGCGCGUAGGCGGCCACGCACGUCCGUUGUGAAAUCGCCCGGCUCAACUGGGCGGGGUCGGCGGAUACGGCGUGGCUGGAGCAAGCUAGGGGGCAAUGGAAUUCCCGGUGUAGUGGUGGAAUGCGUAGAUAUCGGGAGGAACACCAGUGGCGAAGGCGGUUGCCUGGAGCUUUGCUGACGCUGAGGCGCGAAAGCGUGGGGAGCAAACAGGG
rnacentral:rRNA from 1 species